rnacentral:rRNA from 1 species
UACGUAGGGGGCGAGCGUUGUCCGGAUUUAUUGGGCGUAAAGAGCGUGUAGGCGGUUCGGUAAGUCUGUCGUGAAAUCCUGAGGCUCAACCUUGGACGUGCGAUGGAUACUGCCGGGCUAGAGGAUGGUAGAGGCGAGUGGAAUUCUCGGUGUAGCGGUGAAAUUCGUAGAUAUUGGGAAGAACACCGGUGGCGAAGGCGGCUCACUGGCUCGUAACUGACGCUCAUGCACGACAGCGUGGGGAUCAAACAGG